rnacentral:rRNA from 1 species
AUUGAACGCUGGCGGCAGGCCUAACACAUGCAAGUCGAGCGGAUGAAGGGAGCUUGCUCCUGGAUUCAGCGGCGGACGGGUGAGUAAUGCCUAGGAAUCUGCCUGGUAGUGGGGGAUAACGUCCGGAAACGGGCGCUAAUACCGCAUACGUCCUGAGGGAGAAAGUGGGGGAUCUUCGGACCUCACGCUAUCAGAUGAGCCUAGGUCGGAUUAGCUAGUUGGUGGGGUAAAGGCCUACCAAGGCGACGAUCCGUAACUGGCCUGAGAGGAUGAUCAGUCACACUGGAACUGAGACACGGUCCAGACUCCUACGGGAGGCAGCAGUGGGGAAUAUUGGACAAUGGGCGAAAGCCUGAUCCAGCCAUGCCGCGUGUGUGAAGAAGGUCUUCGGAUUGUAAAGCACUUUAAGUUGGGAGGAAGGGCAGUAAGUUAAUACCUUGCCGUUUUGACGUUACCAACAGAAUAAGCACCGGCUAACUUCGUG